CACGUAGGGGGCGAGCGUUGUCCGGAUUUAUUGGGCGUAAAGAGCUCGUAGGCGGCUCAGUAAGUCGGGUGUGAAAACUCCAGGCUCAACCUGGAGACGCCACCUGAUACUGCUGUGGCUAGAGUCCGGUAGGGGAGCAUGGAAUUCCUGGUGUAGCGGUGAAAUGCGCAGAUAUCAGGAGGAACACCAGUGGCGAAGGCGGCUCACUGGACCGGAACUGACGCUGAGGCGCGAAAGCGUGGGGAGCAAACAGG
rnacentral:rRNA from 1 species